UACAGAGGGUGCGAGCGUUGUCCGGAAUCACUGGGCGUAAAGGGCGCGUAGGUGGUGACCUAAGCGUGCGGUGAAAGCCCGAGGCUCAACCUCGGGUCGGCCGUGCGAACUGGGUCACUGGAGCAGCAUAGAGGCAGGUGGAAUUCCGGGUGUAGCGGUGGAAUGCGUAGAGAUCCGGAGGAAGACCGGUGGCGAAGGCGGUCUGCUGGGCAGUUUCUGACACUGAUGCGCGACAGCGUGGGGAGCAAACAGG
rnacentral:rRNA from 1 species